GGGGGCUUAGCUCAGUUGGUUAGAGCAGGAUGCUCAUAACGUCUUUGUCGGGGGUUCAAGUCCCUCAGCCCCCACCA
rnacentral:tRNA from 1 species